UACAGAGGUCCCAAGCGUUGUUCGGAUUCACUGGGCGUAAAGGGUGCGUAGGUGGCGAGGUAAGUCGGAUGUGAAAGCUCGGAGCUCAACUCCGAAAUGGCAUUGGAAACUACCUUGCUCGAAGGCAGGAGAGGGUAGUGGAAUUCUCGGUGUAGCAGUGAAAUGCGUAGAUAUCGAGAGGAACACCAGUGGCGAAGGCGAGUCUCUGGACGACUCCUGACACUGAGGCACGAAAGCUAGGGGAGCAAACAGG
rnacentral:rRNA from 1 species